GACGAACGCUGGCGGCGUGCCUAACACAUGCAAGUCGAGCGAAUGAAGUUCCUUCGGGACUGGAUUUAGCGGCGGACGGGUGAGUAACACGUGGGCAACUUGCCUCAUAGAGGGGAAUAGCCUCCCGAAAGGGAGAUUAUUACCGCAUAAGACUGUAGUACCGCAUGAUACAGCAAUUAAAGGAGCAAUCCGCUAUGAGAUGAGCGCGCGGCGCAUUAGCUAGUUGGUGAGGUAAUGGCUCACCAAGGCGACGAUGCGUAGCCGACCUGAGAGGGUGAUCGGCCACAUUGGGGCUGGGCAGCGGCGCAGACUCCUACGGGAGGGAGGAGAGGGGAAUAUAGCACAACGGGGGGAGUCAUGAAGGAGCUACGCCUGUAGAGUGCUGACGGUCGUCGGGAAGUGAAGCACGGUCUUCAGGGGCGGUAAUGACGGUACCUGAGGAAGAAGCAACGGCUAACUACGUG
rnacentral:rRNA from 1 species